rnacentral:lncRNA from 1 species
UGAUCCGUGGAACAGGAACGUGGCUUUUCUGGUAGUGCGGCCGCAUAGAGUUAUUGUAGGGUUCGUUUCCUCUCUGAAACUUGUAGAGGCGAAUCCGGGGUAGGAGACGGCGCAAGGGAUGGAUUUCUUGAUGCAGACUAUAAGCGGGUAAGCGAUGGAAUCUUUGGUUUGGCUUAACUAAUUUGGAGUAGGAUGUCUGCUGAAUAUGCUAUCUGUUGUGUAUCCGUACCAGAUCCCCUGUGCUUUAAGAGGUCGAGGACAAUGAAGCCCCCCAUGGAUCUGCCACCUUCCACGGUGGCUGCUUUGGUGGGGAAGCUGGAACAAGCGCCGGCGCCAGUCUUGACUGUAGGCGCGCAGAUCUGGGAUGAAGAAGCCGUGGUGAUUGGAGGAAGGAAGAACUCACCCCCGGUGUCCGCGCAGUCGACCAGCAAGCCCGGGGUGGACUAAGAGGUUAGUGCAUAACUGAAAAAAUCCUAUUGAUUUCCACUUGCUUGGUGUGCGUCAUUGACAUGGAAGUAUGUGGCGUUCACAGUUAGUCUACUAGCAGCCUGCAUAUAGAUUUGGGAGCUCUAUGGGUGACUUGUGUUAGAAAAGUAAUUUUUUUCCUUCCACUUGCGCAACUGUUGGAAACACCACUUCAGUAAAACUUGAUAUGUGGGUUUCAGUUGUGGGCAGUAAUUUGGUUGAUAUUAGUCUGUAUUGCUGUUCUGGCAUUGAAUAAUUUACAAUCUAGUGAUGUCACUGUCGAAUGGUAUAAAUUUGGACUUCUAUUUAGACAUAUUUGGGCAGAGUACGGGCCGGCUCAACGGCACCGGCAGUACACUUUGUCCAAAUAGGGUGACCACUUUAGAGAAAGCAAUAAAGGAAUUCGCGG